rnacentral:rRNA from 1 species
CCAGACUCCUACGGGAGGCAGCAGUGAGGAAUAUUGGUCAAUGGGCUUACGCCUGAACCAGCCAAGUCGCGUGAGGGAAGACUGCCCUAUGGGUUGUAAACCUCUUUUGUCAGGGAGCAAUUGGCGCUACGUGUAGCGUUAUCGAGAGUACCUGAAGAAAAAGCAUCGGCUAACUCCGUGCCAGCAGCCGCGGUAAUACGUAGGGGGCAAGCGUUAUCCGGAAUUACUGGGUGUAAAGGGAGCGUAGACGGUGAAGUAAGUCUGGAGUGAAAGGCGGGGGCCCAACCCCCGGACUGCUCUGGAAACUAUUUGACUGGAGUGCAGGAGAGGUAAGCGGAAUUCCUAGUGUAGCGGUGAAAUGCGUAGAUAUUAGGAGGAACACCAGUGGCGAAGGCGGCGUACUGGACUGUAACUGACGUUGAGGCUCGAAAGCGUGGGGAGCAAACAGGAUUAGAUACCCCGGUAUUG